UCGGGGGACGGGUGAGUAACACGUGGGUAACCUGCCCUUAAGUGGGGGAUAACAUUUGGAAACAGAUGCUAAUACCGCAUAAAUCCAAGAACCGCAUGGUUCUUGGCUGAAAGAUGGCGUAAGCUAUCGCUUUUGGAUGGACCCGCGGCGUAUUAGCUAGUUGGUGAGGUAACGGCUCACCAAGGCAAUGAUACGUAGCCGAACUGAGAGGUUGAUCGGCCACAUUGGGACUGAGACACGGCCCAAACUCCUACGGGAGGCAGCAGUAGGGAAUCUUCCACAAUGGACGCAAGUCUGAUGGAGCAACGCCGCGUGAGUGAAGAAGGCUUUCGGGUCGUAAAACUCUGUUGUUGGAGAAGAAUGGUCGGCAGAGUAACUGUUGUCGGCGUGACGGUAUCCAACCAGAAAGCCACGGCUAACUACGUGCCAGCAGCCGCGGUAAUACGUAGGUGGCAAGCGUUAUCCGGAUUUAUUGGGCGUAAAGCGAGCGCAGGCGGUUUUUUAAGUCUGAUGUGAAAGCCCUCGGCUUAACCGAGGAAGUGCAUCGGAAACUGGGAAACUUGAGUGCAGAAGAGGACAGUGGAACUCCAUGUGUAGCGGUGAAAUGCGUAGAUAUAUGGAAGAACACCACUGGCGAAGGCGGCUGUCUGGUCUGUAACUGACGCUGAGGCUCGUAAGCAUGGGUAGCGACAGGAUUAGAUACCCUGGUAGUCCAUGCCGUAAACGAUGAAUGCUAGGUGUUG
rnacentral:rRNA from 2 species